rnacentral:rRNA from 1 species
GACGAACGCUGGCGGCGUGCCUAAUACAUGCAAGUCGAGCGCAGGAAAUCGACGGAACCCUUCGGGGGGAAGUCGACGGAAUGAGCGGCGGACGGGUAAGUAACACGUAAAGAACCUGCCCUCAGGUCUGGGAUAACCACGAGAAAUCGGGGCUAAUACCGGAUGGGCCAUCGGACCGCAUGGUCCGAGGAUGAAAGGCGCUGCGGCGUCGCCUGGGGAUGGCUUUGCGGUGCAUUAGCUAGUUGGUGGGGUAAUGGCCCACCAAGGCGACGAUGCAUAGCCGACCUGAGAGGGUGAUCGGCCACACUGGGACUGAGACACGGCCCAGACUCCUACGGGAGGCAGCAGUAGGGAAUCUUCCACAAUGGACGAAAGUCUGAUGGAGCAACGCCGCGUGAACGAUGAAGGCCUUCGGGUCGUAAAGUUCUGUUGUAAGGGAAGAACAAGUGCCGCAGGCAAUGGCGGCACCUUGACGGUACCUUGCGAGAAAGCCACGGCUAACUACGUGCCAGCAGCCGCGGUAA